AGCAGGUGCCCAAGUCCUGGCUAUAUACGUGACUGCUAUCAGUUGUGCGGGGACAACGACACCAUGCAGCAUCACGCAGUGCCCGCGUACUUCCUUGUGCCAUCACGGCCGCCCCCGUUUCAUUCGCCGCANCCUCUUUCUCCGCCGCCGACCGGCUCUCUCCACGAGGUCCGGCUUGCCGAGCCGACGCGCCUGCGCGCCCUGCUGCCCUGGCCAAGAAUGUCCAAAGUUGCACGCGAACCCGCCUGAGCCAGGCUACCCCUUACCGCGCCGUUCUCAUGGCAACCGAGCUCGAGCGAUAAACAAUUCCGCCGCGAACCUAUGAGAGGGAAGCACCUCUGCACGCGCGACACAGCUGGGGGUAAUUCGGGUCCGGCGCGCCACCAGCCGGUGCCGCCAGGGCGCAGUCCCCGCGGCAGGAGCGAAGCGGACAGAGUGGCAGCGGGAGGGCAGCGUGCCUGAACGGGAAGGGGGCUCUGCCGCGCCAUGGGCUGCUCCAGCAGCGCUCAGACUCAGGUCGUGGACGGCAGCCGACCGGCUCCGAAAUCCCCAGACGCCAAUGGACCUUUCGCGGGCGAUGACAGUAAUUUGCCUGUCACAAAUGAAAAUGAAAUUAUACCUGAACAGACCAAACUUGGGGCAAUAGAUGAAGUGGAGCUUGGCUCUCGUGAAACAAAACUGAGUGACAAUCUAGCCAAAGAUGAGGCAGAUGCUUUGAUUCCGGGAAUAACAGACUGUACCCUUUCCACCUCUCAAAGAGUUGAUCCUGAGGGCACAGAGCCUCAGCCAAUGACAUUAGAAGAGAAGUUCAACAGCACUGGGCCUUUGACUGCUGGCCUUCUAGAAGCUGGUGAACCUCAGCCUGUGAAACUCCCAGAAGACACAACUACUAUGCCUCAGCUUUCCACAGAANUUGACACUUCGCAGUCAGAAACUGUGCAGGACAGCGAACCUGAACCUCCUGAGUCAACAGAGGGGAGCACACCUGAGCCAGUAGCUGCGGAGAACUUGAGUCUUGUGACAGAAAUUGUGAGGGAAUUUUUAGUGGCUGAAGAUGAACAGCCAGUCACAGGUGAGACAGGAGAAAAGACGGAAACUGAGAUGAACCAUGAGAUAGUGAGUGAGGACUCUGAAACAAAAGAAGAAGAAACCAGAGAAGCUACACCAGCAAUAGAGAUAGAAUCCAUUAAUAAUGAAGAAUGACUUAUGGCUGGACUUCCUGGACAACCUGGACUUCCUGGUAUCUCAGAUAGCAUCAGUACUCUAAUUCAAGAGAAUCUAGCUCUUGUAUAGACUUGCCACAACUUCUGAGCUAGAGGAAGAAGAGGGAGAACUUAUUUUGGGAGGUCAAGUUGCCAAGACAGCAAAUGAGGAGUUGCAAUAUUAAACCUUCAUGUAUGCCAUAGAGUGCCUUCUGCAAACUUUCCCUUCAGUGGAAUGAUGUAUUUAAAGAUGUUAACUUACCAGUUUAAUUUAUAAAAUUGAUACAUGUGAAGUACAAUCUAUUAAUUAGAUGAGUGCAUGUAGCAUUAGACUGUGCAGAUUCUCCCAUUCCAACAUUAGAUCUUAAGUGGGCUAUGAUGACUCUCACUAGGUUCUGGUAGUGAUUUUGCAGUUAUGAAAUUUUGCACCUUUACCAAUAGAAUUCUUUUGUACAGAUUCUCUUAUGUGUAAAUGGUUCAGGUAGGUUGGAACUUAAUGUUGCUGCUUUAGCACAAUCUGAAAAAAAAUACAUCAAUGCACAUUUUCUAAUGUGAAAUCUAAUGAAAAUCAUCAUACUCAACAUCCUUGAGGUUAGAAAUCAGCAUACAAUGAUGUCAUUCUGAAAUGAUGGGACAUACACCUGUUGAGAAUAACAUCUUCCCUAUUUAAAUAAGAAAUUACUGUUAUAGCAUAACACUAUGAUAUAUUGAAUUAUUAUUAGGAUAUGGUAGUAAAAUUGUUGAAAAUAAUUUGAUUUUUUUUUAUCAACCACAAUUAAGAUUCUAAUUGCCUGACACCAGAAUAUUCCUGACAGCCCAAGAAAUUAGUUUCAAAAAUCACAUCGGCUGUUGCUCAUAGUGCAGAAUUAUGUAUUUCUUGAAGAGUCAAGAUUUCUUCUNUUGUGCAUUUAUGAGAAUUCUGUUUUUAUUAAUCUGAUCUUUAUUUGAUACCAGAUAUGAAAACUGAAUCCUUCUGAUGUGUCUUUCAAAAGGAUGAGUAUUUUUUAAAAAGCAAGCAAAGAGAAGCUUAGUACAUGUUACCUAUGAUUCUAAAGGUUGCAUAGCUGGGGAAGNAGAUAUUGCGUAUCUUUUGACAACUUGUCUCUGAAGAAAAAAAAAACUUUGUUCAACAGCAAGAUAUGUUUGAUAUGGUUGUUUCUCAUACCUCUGUAUGCAAAAUCCAUACAAUGUACAGACUAAAAUAAAACUUUCAGAAUAUCUUUGAUCUGGCA
ensembl:lncRNA